GUGCUUGAAAUCGACGUAGUGGACCCUGGCUAGCAUAUUUUUCCCUGCCAAGAUUAUUGCAAAAAGACGAUGUGGUGGUUAAUAUCGGAAAGAAUGUGUGGUUAAUAUCAGGAAGAACACGUGAAAUGGAGAAUUUCAGGGCUAACAUUUCUUGUUUUGUUUCUGAAAACAUCGGCAUGUCCUAAAAAGUGUCGCCUGUGCCCAUCAUCUCUCAGGCUUGGGAGCAGGACACCGCCGGCUCACUUUAAAGCCAAGGGAAAGAAUUUGGACAACCAACUACGUCUGGAGAAGACACCAAUGUCAGCAGAGCUCCGCUUUCAUCUGUGGGCGAAGGAUUACCUAGAUGCCAAGGCAAGAGACUGAAGACACAAACUGUUUCAGUAUAACAAAGAAAAUAGGCCGGGAGCGGUGGCUCACGCCUGUAAUCCCAGCACUUUGGGAGGCCGAGGCGGGUGGAUCACGAGGUCAGGAGAUCGAGACCAUCCUGGCUAACACGCUACCUAAAAGGGAAGCGCCCCCUGUCCUAUGAUCACGUGACUUGCUUCACCUUGUCAAUCACUUGGAAGAUUCACCCUCCUUACCCUGCCCUCCUUGUCUUGUAUGCAAUAAAUAUCAGUGCGCCCAGCCAUUCGGGGCCACUACUGGUCUCCGUGUCUUGAUGGUAGUGGUCCCCCGGGCCCAGCUGUUCUCUCUUUA